GUGACUGCUGCUGCGGAUGUUGCUGUUGCUGUUGCUGUUGCUUUUGCUGCUGAUGUUGCUGCUGCUGCUGCUGCUGUAAAUGUUGCUGCUGCAUA
rnacentral:sRNA from 1 species